rnacentral:rRNA from 1 species
GAAACGACUGCUAAGACUGGAUAGGAGACAAGAAGGCAUCUUUUUGUUUUUAAAAGACCUAGCAAUAGGUAUGCUUAGGGAGGAGCUUGCGUCACAUUAGUUAGUUGGUGGGGUAAAGGCUUACCAAGACUAUGAUGUGUAGCCGGGCUGAGAGGUUGAACGGCCACAUUGGGACUGAGACACGGCCCAAACUCCUACGGGAGGCAGCAGUAGGGAAUUUUCGGCAAUGGAGGAAACUCUGACCGAGCAACGCCGCGUGAACGAUGAAGUAUUUCGGUACGUAAAGUUCUUUUAUUAGGGAAGAAUAAAUGAUGGAAAAAUCAUUCUGACGGUACCUAAUGAAUAAGCCCCGGCUAACUAUGUGCCAGCAGCCGCGGUAAUACAUAGGGGGCAAGCGUUAUCCGGAAUUAUUGGGCGCAAAGGGUGCGUAGGCGGUUAAAUAAGUUUAUGGUCUAAGUGCAAUGCUUAACAUUGUGAUGCUAUAAAAACUGUUUAACUAGAGUAAGAUAGAGGCAAGUGGAAUUCCAUGUGUAGUGGUAAAAUGCGUAAAUAUAUGGAGGAACACCAGUAGCGAAGGCGGCUUGCUGGGUCUUUACUGACGCUGAGGCACGAAAGCGUGGGGAGCAAACAGGAUUAGAUACCCUGGUAGUCCACGCCGUAAACGAUGAGUACUAAAUGUUGGGUAAAACCAGUGUUGAAGUUAACACAUUAAGUACUCCGCCUGAGUAGUACGUACGCAAGUAUGAAACUUAAAGGAAUUGACGGGACUCCGCACAAGCGGUGGAUCAUGUUGUUUAAUUCGAAGGUACCCGAAAAACCUCACCAGGUCUUGACAUGCUUCUGCAAAGCUGUAGAAACACAGUGGAGGUUAUCAGUUGCACAGGUGGUGCAUGGUUGUCGUCAGCUCGUGUCGUGAGAUGUUGGGUUAAGUCCCGCAACGAGCGCAACCCUUAUUGUUAGUUGCCAGCACGUAAUGGUGGGGACUUUAGCAAGACUGCCAGUGAUAAAUUGGAGGAAGGUGGGGACGACGUCAAAUCAUCAUGCCCCUUAUGACCUGGGCUACAAACGUGAUACAAUGGCUGUUACAAAGGGUAGCUGAAACGCAAGUUUUUGGCGAAUCUCAAAAAAACAGUCUCAGUUCGGAUUGAAGUCUGCAACUCGACUUCAUGAAGUUGGAAUCGCUAGUAAUCGCGAAUCAGCAUGUCGCGGUGGAUACGUUCUCGGGGUUUGUACACACCGCCCGUCA